UUUAAAUUGAGAGUUUGAUCCUGGCUCAGGAUGAACGCUGGUGGCGUGCCUAAUACAUGCAAGUCGUACGCUAGCCGCUGAAUUGAUCCUUCGGGUGAAGUGAGGCAAUGACUAGAGUGGCGAACUGGUGAGUAACACGUAAGAAACCUGCCCUUUAGUGGGGGAUAACAUUUGGAAACAGAUGCUAAUACCGCGUAACAACAAAUCACACAUGUGAUCUGUUUGAAAGGUCCUUUUGGAUCGCUAGAGGAUGGUCUUGCGGCGUAUUAGCUUGUUGGUAGGGUAGAAGCCUACCAAGGCAAUGAUGCGUAGCCGAGUUGAGAGACUGGCCGGCCACAUUGGGACUGAGACACUGCCCAAACUCCUACGGGAGGCUGCAGUAGGGAAUUUUCCGCAAUGCACGAAAGUGUGACGGAGCGACGCCGCGUGUGUGAUGAAGGCUUUCGGGUCGUAAAGCACUGUUGUAAGGGAAGAAUAACUGAAUUCAGAGAAAGUUUUCAGCUUGACGGUACCUUACCAGAAAGGGAUGGCUAAAUACGUGCCAGCAGCCGCGGUAAUACGUAUGUCCCGAGCGUUAUCCGGAUUUAUUGGGCGUAAAGCGAGCGCAGACGGUUUAUUAAGUCUGAUGUGAAAUCCCGAGGCCCAACCUCGGAAC
rnacentral:rRNA from 1 species